UACCCGGCUAUGGGCGAUAACGUAACGAAAGUUACGCUAAUACCGCAUAUGCCCUGAGGGGGAAAGCAGGGGACCAGUAAUGGCCUUGCGUUGUCGGAGCGGCCGAUAUCGGAUUAGCUAGUUGGUGAGGUAAAGGCUCACCAAGGCGACGAUCCGUAGCAGGUCUGAGAGGAUGAUCUGCCACACUGGGACUGAGACACGGCCCAGACUCCUACGGGAGGCAGCAGUGGGGAAUUUUGGACAAUGGGCGAAAGCCUGAUCCAGCCAUGCCGCGUGAGUGAAGAAGGCCUUCGGGUUGUAAAGCUCUUUCAGCCGGAAAGAAAACGCACUUCCUAAUACGGAGUGUGGAUGACGGUACCGGAAGAAGAAGCACCGGCUAACUACGUGCCAGCAGCCGCGGUAAUACGUAGGGUGCGAGCGUUAAUCGGAAUUACUGGGCGUAAAGCGUGCGCACGCGGUUUUGUAAGACAGACGUGAAAGCCCCGGGCUUAACCUGGGAACGGCGUUUGUGACUGCAAGACUAGAGUAUGGCAGAGGGGGGUAGAAUUCCACGUGUAGCAAUGAAAUGCGUAGAGAUGUGGAGGAAUACCGAUGGCAAAGGCAGCCCCCUGGGUCAAUACUGACGCUCAUGCACGAAAGCGUGGGGAGCAAACAAGAUUAGAUACCCUGGGUAGUCCACGACCCUAAACGAUGUCACUAAGGUGUUGGGGGGAGGAGACUUCCUUAAAUACCGCAACUUAACAAGUGGAAGUUGACCGCC
rnacentral:rRNA from 1 species